UCUCAGUUGGCUAGGGCGGUCCAAGUUAUACAGUAUCUUGAAAUACUUAUAAUUAAAAACGUAAAAAUCGUCUCCUGCUAUGCAAUGUCAGCAGCUUCAGUUCGCUGCGCAUCUCUUGAGAGCAUUUUCGCCUUCCUUUGUGAAGGAUAAUCCUCAAAGCAUGAUUCUGCAGUUCCUCGACCCGCCUCGUUUGAAUUGUUCCGCACUCGUGCCAAACAGUUGAACCAUAGUCCAAGAUGGGUAGCAUAGUUUGUAGAUACGGAGUAAAAUUACGGAAGGUAAAAAUGACGAUAUAUGCGAUUGAUUAAGCCAAUUUUUGGAUAUAUAUCACUGAAAGAAGAAGUGAUACGAAACCAGUGUAAUGAAACAAAGUAAGAAUUACGUCACCAUUUCUAUGGUUGUGUGAGCAGUACAUAGACCACAGCACG